UGAUCCGUGCUUCUUUGAUAUGGUUGAGAACUGGGAACCAAUAUAUUUGGUUGCUAAUGUGUGAAGACUUUUAGAGACCAAAUUUUGGUCGUCUCAAUAAUAGGCAAAUAAAAUCUCAUCCUCUCGCACUAAUUUGUCAAAUGCAUGCUCUCGAUCUGUUCUCUCUUCUCUCUGUCUAGGGCUCUCUGUCUAAGACUCUAAUGGAGAUCUAAGAUCUUGAGCUUCAAUCGUCUAGGACUUCAAUGGAGAUCUAAGAUCUUCAGCUUCAAUCGAUCUCAUUUUCAUGAUGGAUCUCAUCUUCAUGAUCGAUCUCAUACUCCAACGCAGAUCUAUCUUCUCUCCCUCUUCGUUUCCGCACCAGCACCCCUUCUUGCUCAAGUCUCUGUGUGUGUGUGUGUAAUGUAUAUAUAUAUAUAUGGCAGAAUUUUUUUAGUGUGCAGGUGUUUGGAUCUGUGAACUGGAAGAGAAGAUGAAUCGGUGCAGGGAUAUUAGCGGGGCCUCAAUUUCUGCAUCUGACUCCAUCUUCUUCCGUAAACCUUGAUGAAUCGGUGUUUUGUUUUAUUUGUGUAUCUUGAAUCCCUCCGUAAACGACCAAUUUAGACCUUCGAGAUGGCAUCUGAAUCAUCAAACUGAGAUUUUGGACUCUAAAGCAAAGAUGGAGCUUCUUGACAUCAUUCUAACCAAGGUUCUAUGCUGCAGAAGUUCUUUUCGCACUCGAGUAUCUGCACAUGUUGGGAGUUGUGUACUGCGACCUUAAACCAGAAAGUGUUCUUGUACGUGAUGAUGGCCACAUAAUGCUUUCAGACUUUGACCUUUCUCUAAGGGUCAUAAUGCUUUCAGUCCCUUUCUAUGACACUCUUGGUUUUCCCAUUCCAGCAAGUGCAUCACUAGCGGUGUUUUAUCCUUGGAGAUUUCCUUCUUGUUUCCUUUGUCAACUGCACUUAGUGAACAAUUUCUCUUGAAUGAACAAUACUGGAGGCCUAAUGCAAAAAAAUUUUGAGAUAGGUGUUGGAUCUUUAGUGCACAUCUAUGAAUAAGCUACAUAUUCACUUCUUUCUAAACCAACAUUAUUUGUUAAGCUUAUUUUGACACAUUUUUUUCUUACUUGAAGUGCAUCGUUGAUACACAACAUCCAUUGGUGAUCCUUGGAAACUGUCUUUUGGGGGUUGAAGUUUGCAAACACUAAAUGAUAUUUUCUUAAGUAGUUUGUAUUAGAUAAGCCUGUUGCACUGAAUCCGUGCAGAGUUUUGUAGUUCUUAUUGAUAUUUUUUUUCUUCUCUCCUGAUGACUGCUGGUUAGAGUGCCAACAUAAACAGUAACUGAAGAUUCUGAAAGAGAUUUUACAUACUAUAACUGAGGUAGCUGUCAUCUUGUUUAGUAAUAUUUCAGUAAUCUUGUUCGUUUAUGUAAUCUUGUUUAGUAAUAUUUCAGUAAUUUAGUUUGUUUAAAUUUUUGUAAAAUUUUACUUUCUAUGUACUUGGUAGUUUGGGAAUAGAAUGCUUUGAUGUGUGAAUGUCAAUUUUUAUUUUC